rnacentral:rRNA from 1 species
GCACCUACGGGACGCAGCAGUGGGGAAUAUUGCACAAUGGGGGGAACCCUGAUGCAGCGACGCCGCGUGGGUGAGGAAGUACUUCGGUAUGUAAAGCUCUGUCAGCAGGGAAGAGAAUGACGGUACCUGACCAAGAAGCCCCGGCUAAAUACGUGCCAGCAGCCGCGGUAAUACGUAUGGGGCAAGCGUUAUCCGGAUUUACUGGGUGUAAAGGGAGCGUAGGCGGCAGGGCAAGCCUGAUGUGAAAGCCCGGGGCUCAACCCCGGGACUGCAUUGGGAACUGCCCCGCUCGAGUGCCGGAGGGG